GUUGAUGUGCGUUUCUGAAUUAGCUCUUAAAUGGCUUACAAAAAUGGUAGGUUCUUUGGUGGGGCGGUGAGCAUGGAUUAUGUAACAGAGAUUUUAUUCUAAAUUGUUUGUUAUAUGUUCUUUGUUAUAGUGAAGAAUGGAGAAUUGAGAAGAGUUUGGAGAGCUUGGGGUUGAAGAAGGUUUAAGGUGAUUUAGAUGGGAGUGUGGGGAGUUUUGGUGCAUGCAGAAUGAUGUGAAGAUUAGAGAAUGGUGAAAAACGUCCCCGCUAGCGAUGUCGAUUCAGUCUAUUUUAUAGAGUUGGUUAAAAGGGGUAGUUUAGGAUUUUGCAUUUAAAGUUUCAGUUGUGAAAUUCAGGACCUGCAGGGAGGUGCAUUGUUGCGCUUUUGAAUUAUAUUCCCUGCAUUGCCGUUGAAUUUGCAAAUUGGUUCCUUGAUAAUUCUUUUGCACAUGCCUUGUAAAAUAACUUGUAUUGGGAUUCUCUUGUAAAUCUUUAUUUGGGCCUUAAUGAUGUAUGUUAUUCACCCCAAAUGCUUUCUUGAGCCAUGCUUGAAAUACCAUGCUCUUUUUGAACUUGCUUGAACUAUGAUAAAACCAUGAUAAUUGGAA
rnacentral:lncRNA from 1 species